GAUGAACGCUGGCGGCGUGCCUAAUACAUGCAAGUCGAGCGAACGGACGAGAAGCUUGCUUCUCUGAUGUUAGCGGCGGACGGGUGAGUAACACGUGGAUAACCUACCUAUAAGACUGGGAUAGCUUCGGGAAACCGGAGCUAAUACCGGAUAAUAUUUUGAACCGCAUGGUUCAAAAGUGAAAGACGGUCUUGCUGUCACUUAUAGAUGGAUCCGCGCUGCAUUAGCUAGUUGGUAAGGUAACGGCUUACCAAGGCAACGAUGCAUAGCCGACCUGAGAGGGUGGUCGGCCACACUGGAACUGAGACACGGUCCAGACUCCUACGGGAGGCAGCAGUAGGGAAUCUUCCGCAAUGGGCGAAAGCCUGACGGAGCAACGCCGCGUGAGUGAUGAAGGUCUUCGGAUCGUAAAACUCUGUUAUUAGGGAAGAACAUAUGUGUAAGUAACUGUGCACAUCUUGACGGUACCUAAUCAGAAAGCCACGGCUAACUACGUGCCAGCAGCCGCGGUAAUACGUAGGUGGCAAGCGUUAUCCGGAAUUAUUGGGCGUAAAGCGCGCGUAGCGGUUUUUUAAGUCUGAUGUGAAAGCCCACGGCUCAACCGUGGAGGGUCAUUGGAAACUGGAAAACUUGAGUGCAGAAGAGGAAAGUGGAAUUCCAUGUGUAGCGGUGAAAUGCGCAGAGAUAUGGAGGAACACCAGUGGCGAAGGCGACUUUCUGGUCUGUAACUGACGCUGAUGUGCGAAAGCGUGGGGAUCAAACAGGAUUAGAUACCCUGGUAGUCCACGCCGUAAACGAUGAGUGCUAAGUGUUAGGGGGUUUCCGCCCCUUAGUGCUGCAGCUAACGCAUUAAGCACUCCGCCUGGGGAGUACGACCGCAAGGUUGAAACUCAAAGGAAUUGACGGGGACCCGCACAAGCGGUGGAGCAUGUGGUUUAAUUCGAAGCAACGCGAAGAACCUUACCAAAUCUUGACAUCCUUUGACAACUCUAGAGAUAGAGCCUUCCCCUUCGGGGGACAAAGUGACAGGUGGUGCAUGGUUGUCGUCAGCUCGUGUCGUGAGGUGUUGGGUUAAGUCCCGCUACGAGCGCAACCCUUAAGCUUAGUUGCCAUCAUUAAGUUGGGCACUCUAAGUUGACUGCCGGUGACAAACCGGAGGAAGGUGGGGAUGACGUCAAAUCAUCAUGCCCCUUAUGAUUUGGGCUACACACGUGCUACAAUGGACAAUACAAAGGGCAGCGAAACCGCGAGGUCAAGCAAAUCCCAUAAAGUUGUUCUCAGUUCGGAUUGUAGUCUGCAACUCGACUACAUGAAGCUGGAAUCGCUAGUAAUCGUAGAUCAGCAUGCUACGGUGAAUACGUUCCCGGGUCU
rnacentral:rRNA from 1 species